UGUCCUUCGGGAGAAAGAUUUAUCGGCAAGAGAUGAGCCCGCGUUGGAUUAGCUAGUUGGUGGGGUAAAGGCCUACCAAGGCGACGAUCCAUAGCUGGUCUGAGAGGAUGAUCAGCCACAUUGGGACUGAGACACGGCCCAAACUCCUACGGGAGGCAGCAGUGGGGAAUAUUGGACAAUGGGCGCAAGCCUGAUCCAGCCAUGCCGCGUGAGUGAUGAAGGCCCUAGGGUUGUAAAGCUCUUUCACCGGAGAAGAUAAUGACGGUAUCCGGAGAAGAAGCCCCGGCUAACUUCGUGCCAGCAGCCGCGGUAAUACGAAGGGGGCUAGCGUUGUUCGGAAUUACUGGGCGUAAAGCGCACGUAGGCGGAUCGAUCAGUCAGGGGUGAAAUCCCAGGGCUCAACCCUGGAACUGCCUUUGAUACUGUCGAUCUGGAGUAUGGAAGAGGUGAGUGGAAUUCCGAGUGUAGAGGUGAAAUUCGUAGAUAUUCGGAGGAACACC
rnacentral:rRNA from 1 species